rnacentral:rRNA from 1 species
CCUACGGGAGGCAGCAGUGGGGAAUAUUGCACAAUGGGGGAAACCCUGAUGCAGCCAUGCCGCGUGUGUGAAGAAGGCCUUCGGGUUGUAAAGCACUUUCAGUUGUGAGGAAAGUUUAGUAGUUAAUACCUGCUAGAUGUGACGUUAGCAACAGAAGAAGCACCGGCUAACUCCGUGCCAGCAGCCGCGGUAAUACGGAGGGUGCGAGCGUUAAUCGGAAUUACUGGGCGUAAAGCGCACGCAGGCGGUCUGUUAAGCUAGAUGUGAAAGCCCCGCGCUCAACGUGGGAGGGUCAUUUAGAACUGGCAGACUAGAGUCUUGGAGAGGGGAGUGGAAUUCCAGGUGUAGCGGUGAAAUGCGUAGAGAUCUGGAGGAACAUCAAUGGCGUAGGCAACUCCCUGGCCAAAGACUGACGCUCAUGUGCGAAAGUGUGGGUAGCGAACAGGAUUAGAUACCCUGAUAGUCCACACCGUAAACGCUGUCUACUAGCUGUUUGUGAAUUUAAUUCGUGAGUAGCGAAGCUAACGCGUUAAGUAGACCGCCUGGGGAGUACGGUCGCAAGAUUAAAACUCAAAGGAAUUGACGG